CAGUGUCUGCCAUAAUGUCUCCCAAUGUCCCUUAGUGUCUCAGUGUCUGCCAUAAUGUCUCCCAGUGUCCCUUAGUGUCUCAGUGUCUGCCAUAAUGUCUCCCAAUGUCCCUUAGUGUCUCAGUGUCUGCCAUAAUGUCUCCCAAUGUCCCUUAGUGUCUCAGUGUCUGCCAUAAUGUCUCCCAAUGUCCCUUAGUGUCUCAGUGUCUGCCAUAAUGUCUCCCAAUGUCUCUUAGUGUCUCAGUAUCUGCCAUAAUGUCUCCCAAUGUCCC